rnacentral:rRNA from 1 species
UAACCGGGUGUAUAGAACAUACAACUCUGAGCGGUGGAUCACUCGGCUCGUGUGUCGAUGAAGAGUGCAGCCAACUGUGUGAAUUAAUGUGACCUGCAUACUGCUUUGAACAUCGACCUCUUGAACGCAUAUUGCGGCCGCAGGAUAUCCUGUGGCCAC